UUGUUUUUUUUCCCCCCAAGACUAAGAGCCCUGAAAACCUGUGAAGAAACUCUAAAGUUUCUUCCAAAUAACUCCCACUUUGUCCCACCCAGUGUGAGAACAUUUACCUCUUUCCAAGUACACACAGACACCGAGCGGGAUGAACCGCUGCCAGGGCAGAUGUUUGCCGUGGAGUCAGAGCCAGAAGAACCUGGACUGCAGCCACCUCAGCGAGGAGUGCAAAGAAGGGGAAAUCCCUCUGUAACAUUAAUAAAGAACUGAAAAUUCCACAACAAUUCUUGAAGAUUUUUUUUCCCUGCUGCAGUGUCUGCUCUGAUGUGACCAAAAUUCCCCAUCAACUUUAAGGGAACUUCCUGAGAAAAUUAUAAAGAAAUUUAGUAAUUCAGCAACAGAUCAAAAGCAGCAUUCAGCAAAAAGAAGUCAAGAUAUUCUCAAGAUUCUGGAAGUUCAAACUUUAUUAUUGUGCUUGUGAGUGAAACCCACUGGAUGUGAAGAGAGGUGGGCACUGACAUAAAGAAUUCAGUGGAACACUGAGACUGGAAAGGCUUGACAAGAUUUGCCUGUCAGCAUGUGAGUAUGUAAAUAUAUAUAUAUGUAUGUAUGUAUGUUUGUAUGUAUGUCAAAAUGUCUGAAAUAGCAACUUCCUCAGAGAAGACAGAAAAUCAAGCUAUAAAUGCUUUUUGUGACUCAGACAAGGGAGCAUUUCCUGCUCCAUCUUUUGUAUUAUUAACAACUGAACCACCAACUCCAGUGUUUCCCCUGGCAGCUAUGGAUAGGACAUGAUCACAUCAGGCAGUUUCCUGUGAGGUGACAAAAUGGAUUUGAUUGCAGAGGACAGAAUUUCCCCAUACUCAUUACUGCAGCAAUUUUUCUUGUAGCUGUGAUGAAAUGCUUUAACUUUUUUAGGCAACAAAUAGGAAGUGAAUAUAUUAUACUGCUGAUGCUCUCAGACCACAAAACUGGCUGUAGAAAUUGAAGCACUGAUGGUGAAAAAAAGUUGCCUUCCAGUGCAGAUUCUUAUUUAAAUGAUGAUCAGGUAUUUCUCUGCAGUUCUGAGGGCAUAGAAUUGUUACCUCUGAGAAAAAACAGUGAGGAAAUAAAUUAAAUUCUAAAAAGUUAAAUAAAAUAAAUUACCUGCACUGCAACUUUGUGCAGGUAAAAUCUCAUUAAUGGCUACAAGAGUUCUGGAGCAAGACCAAGCCUGAUCCUGAUGUAACGAACUGAAAUUGCCACUGUUUGUGGUAAUUAAAAUAUUUCAAAAAGGAUCAAGAGGUUCUUUCUGGUUGGGUUAUUUUUUUGUUUGUUUGUUUUGUUUUGAUUGGGGUUUUAUGGAUUGUUUGUUUAUUUGUUUGUAGUUUUGGGGGUUUUGUUGUUUUUUUUUUAACUUACCAGCAACAUGCACCAGUAAGGCAAACAAUCAUCCAGUAUUAGGAAGAACAUACAUUUAAACAUUGGGAAAAACUUGUCAGAUGAGGACAGUGAUAGAAAUUAUCUUAAUUUUAGUGGAGAAAAGGAAUAUACCAUAACCAGCAGCCCUAAGAAACACCCAAAUGAUUGAGCAUCAAUGCAAUCCUUCUUACCCAUUGCCUUGUAAAUUAUUCCUAAUUCCAGCACUGUAGGGUGUUUGCAGCAUUACUAAAUUACAAAUUAUCCGUGUUCUUAUGAAGGCCUGAUAGGCUGUUAACAUUAGAACUAGAGCACCACCUUCAACAGCUAACAAGGAAUGUGUUAGAGUUUGCUCCACAAUCUCACUGCAUUCUGCACAGGUAACAGGAAUUUUCCAUCAUCUGGCAUCAUAUUUUAUAAAAUUUAAAUAUAUAAACCCAACCUGACUGUGCUGUGAAAACGUGGGUGAGAGAUGGGGUUAGAACAGCUGGGGCUCUUCGGAGGGCACAGGGCCAGCUCAAGGGGGCUGCUCAGGGCCGUGUCCCUCACAUCCCGGCUAUCCCCAAGCCUAGGGAAGCCUGGCUGAACCCCCAAUUCCCGUGCUCCACUUCCCUCAACAUCGGCCACUAACAAUCACCGCAGGGCCCAAUUCCUUCUCUUCCCAUUGCUGUGCAUGACCCUCUCGCCAGCCGCCCGGAGAUGCUGCCGAGCCGCCCGCCCGCCCGCGGCUCCCGCUU